CUAACUUUUUAAAACCCUUUAUGGAUUUUAGCCUACUGGAGGUCUACUUUCAUUUCUCGUUGGUCUCAUUCGGGAAAGAUUUUCUUGUUGCACAGUGUAAUGAAUUAUACUAUACUUGCAGAUCCACAAAAUCUUAUUUCCACACUAGUGGAUCAAAACCGUCAGUUUUUAGAAGAUAACAAAAAAUCCAUGAAGCUAUAAUGACAAUAAUGGAAGUUAAUAAAAAAUUAUUGGAAGAAAAUAAGAUUUUGAAAACAAAACUGGAACAAAUUGAUAAAAAUCGAGGAAACUAACAAUAAAAUAGGAAAUGAGAACACAAAAUUGUACGGUCAUUUUGCAGAAGAAUUUAUUCAUCUAAGAACCAGGGUUGAAACUGCAUUAAGAAACUUGCAAACUACAAAUAAUAGUGUCGCAAUACCAACAAUAUUAUCCGCAGAUGAUGUUAUUACUUUCGAUUACCAAUUGCAAAUCAAUUGAUAAAACUUUUUAGAAUGCAGCCUCAAGAUGACAUAAAAAAGUUCAUAUAUGAAAACCUAAAAAUAAUGUUAAAAGAUGACAACAUUACAUGCCAAUUUUCAUGGCUAAGUGUAAACAAAAACAUUUCUGUAGGAGACUUUUAUUUUAUAAAACUUCUUAAAGACUUUACUUUACAACAUAUAGCUUCAACAAUGGCUUCAACGAUUGAACAUCAUAUGAAAAAAUUUUUUAAUGCAGCCAAAGAUCGAAUUAACAAAAAAUAAGAGAAAAAUCGAACAGAUUUCCUAAUUUGUUUUACUUAUUUUAUAUAAACAAAUUUAUAAAAUGAAAUAUUAAAA